UGAACCGGACCACAUGCGGACAGACGCCAUUUUACCUCUGUGCGAAGUGUGGUGUUCUAAGCAAAUUACUUUCUUUCGACUUACAAAACAGAAGUAUGGUUUGGGAAUUAUCACCUUGUUUCUGUCACUCGGAGAUCCCCAAGGGAGGAGUGGAUAUGUAAGUCAUUAUCUGUGAUCAGAACUUGCACUAUUGUUCUUUUGUCUUUUUUUUUUUUUUUUUUUUUUUUUUUUUUUUUUUUU